CCCGUCAUACCCCGCUUGGUG
rnacentral:misc_RNA from 1 species